rnacentral:rRNA from 2 species
UUAAGUUAACAAGGGCGCAUGGUGAAUGCCUUGGCACUAGGAGCCGAUGAAGGACGGGACUAACACCGAUAUGCUUCGGGGAGCUGUACGUAAGCUAUGAUCCGGAGAUUUCCGAAUGGGGCAACCCAGCAGUUUUAAUCAACUGUUACCACUAGAUGAAUUCAUAGUCUAGUUGGAGGUAAACGCUGUGAACUGAAACAUCUCAUUAGCAGCAGGAAUAUAAAGAAAUUUCGAUUCCCUAAGUAGCGGCGAGCGAACGGGGAACAGCCCAAACCAAAGUGCUUGCACUUUGGGGUUGUAGGACUGAACAUUUGAGUUACCAAAGAACUUGAUAGUCGAAGGAUUUGGGAAAAUCCGCCAUAGAUGGUGAUAGCCCAGUAGAUUAAAUCAAAUUCUCUCAGUUCAGGA